rnacentral:lncRNA from 1 species
CUUGAUGCACCUAACUUGGUCAAGAUCACGCGCCUUCCUUUCCCUUACUUUAGCUAACCGGAAUACCUUUUUGUCCCCGCCUCUCUCCCUAGUUCCUCGUACAUGCGACCAAACACCACAUUUUUAGUUUCCGUAACCGCCAGCUUUGCUUCUUCCCUCGCCACCUUAUAGAUCUCCCUGUUCGCUCUGCGUUCUUCCUCGCUUGUGCUCCCUGCCAACUUAG